GCUGGGCCUGGUGACGCACGCCUGUAAUCCCAGCUACUCAGGAGGCUGAGGUAGGAGAAUCGCUUGAACCCAGGAGGUGGAGGUUGCAGUGAGCUGAGAUGGCGCCAUUGCACUCCAGCCUGGGUGAUAGAGUGAGACUCUGUCUCAA
ensembl:misc_RNA Metazoa_SRP Metazoan signal recognition particle RNA